GGGUCAGUAGGUUGGUCGUGCCACCGGUACGUACUGGUCUCACUGAUUCCUCCUUCCUGAAGAACCGUAAUGCCAUUAAUUUGGUGUUGCGGGGAAACAGGACUGUUACUUUGAAAAAAUUAGAGUGUUUAAAGCAAGCUAACGCUUGAAUACAUUCGCAUGGAAUAAUGAAAUAGGACGAUCGAUCCUAUUUUGUUGGUUUCUAGGAUUGACGUA
rnacentral:rRNA from 1 species